GACGAACGCUGGCGGCGUGCUUAACACAUGCAAGUCGAACGGAAAGGCCUCUUUCGGGGGGUACUCGAGUGGCGAACGGGUGAGUAACACGUGAGUAACCUGCCCUUGACUUUGGGAUAACUUCAGGAAACUGGGGCUAAUACCGGAUAGGAGCUCCUGCUGCAUGGUGGGGGUUGGAAAGUUUCGGCGGUUGGGGAUGGACUCGCGGCUUAUCAGCUUGUUGGUGGGGUAGUGGCUUACCCAGGCUUUGACGGGUAGCCGGCCUGAGAGGGUGACCGGCCACAUUGGGACUGAGAUCCGGCCCAGGCGCCUACGGGAGGCAGCAGUGGGGAAGAUUGCACAAUGGGUGGAAGCCGGAUGCAGCAACGCCGUGUGCGGGAUGACGGGCUUCGGGUUGUAAACCGCUUUCGCUCAUGACGAAGCUUUGUGUGACGGUAGUUGGUAAAGAAGCACCGGCUAACUACGUG
rnacentral:rRNA from 1 species